AGUGAACGCUGGCGGUAGGCCUAACACAUGCAAGUCGAACGGCAGCACAGUAAGAGCUUGCUCUUACGGGUGGCGAGUGGCGGACGGGUGGGGAAUACAUCGGAAUCUACUUUUUCGUGGGGGAUAACGUAGGGAAACUUGCGCUAAUACCGCAUACGACCUACGGGUGAAAGCAGGGGAUCUUCGGACCUUGCGCGAUUGAAUGAGCCGAUGUCGGAUUAGCUAGUUGGCGGGGUAAAGGCCCACCAAGGCGACGAUCCGUAGCUGGUCUGAGAGGAUGAUCAGCCACACUGGAACUGAGACACGGUCCAGACUCCUACGGGAGGCAGCAGUGGGGAAUAUUGGACAAUGGGCGCAAGCCUGAUCCAGCCAUACCGCGUGGGUGAAGAAGGCCUUCGGGUUGUAAAGCCCUUUUGUUGGGAAAGAAAAGCAGCAGGUUAAUACCCCGCUGUUCUGACGGUACCCAAAGAAUAAGCACCGGCUAACUUCGUG
rnacentral:rRNA from 1 species